UACGGGGGGUGCAAGCGUUAAUCGGAAUCACUGGGCGUAAAGGGUGCGUAGGCGGUACAUUAGGUCUGUCGUGAAAUCCCCGGGCUCAACCUGGGAAUGGCGGUGGAAACCGGUGCACUAGAGUAUGGGAGAGGGUGGUGGAAUUCCAGGUGUAGCGGUGAAAUGCGUAGAGAUCUGGAGGAACAUCAGUGGCGAAGGCGGCCACCUGGCCCAAUACUGACGCUGAGGCACGAAAGCGUGGGGAGCAAACAGGAUUAGAUACCCUGGUAGUCCACGCCCUAAACGAUGAAUACUAGAUGUUUGGUGCCUUGCGUACUGAGUGUCGUAGCUAACGCGAUAAGUAUUCCGCCUGGGAAGUACGGCCGCAAGGCUAAA
rnacentral:rRNA from 1 species